UGUGCGUAGUAGGUGCGCAGAUGAGAUGCGCGGAGGUGGUUCGCGCAAAGGAUGCGCGGACCGAAUGCGAGCCCGGCGAUGCGCAGUAGAAGGGCGCGGACGGCGAUGCACAGACUGGCUACAGUGCAGUCUGCCUCGUCAAGUCAACCUUUAUGAUCUCCAGUCUGCAUUAGUUUCCUCUUGCUGCUGUCACAAAUCCAGUUGCUAAAAACAACACACAUUA